AAUAAGCGGAGGAAAAGAAACCAACAGGGAUUACCUCAGUAACGGCGAGUGAAGCGGUAACAGCUCAAAUUUGAAAUCUGGCCUCACGGUCCGAGUUGUAAUUUGUAGAGGAUGCUUCGAGCAUGGUCUGGCCUAAGUUCCUUGGAACAGGACGUCAUAGAGGGUGAGAAUCCCGUAUGCGGCCAGGUGCCUACGCUCAUGUGAAGCUCCUUCGACGAGUCGAGUUGUUUGGGAAUGCAGCUCAAAAUGGGUGGUAAAUUUCAUCUAAAGCUAAAUAUUGGCCAGAGACCGAUAGCGCACAAGUAGAGUGAUCGAAAGAUGAAAAGCACUUUGGAAAGAGAGUUAAACAGUACGUGAAAUUGUUGAAAGGGAAGCGCUUGCAACCAGACUUGCGCGCGGCCGAUCAUCCGGUGUUCUCACCGGUGCACUCGGCCGUGCUCAGGCCAGCAUCGGUUUUGGCGGCUGGAUAAAGGCCCUAGGAAUGUGGCUCCUCUCGGGGAGUGUUAUAGCCUAGGGUGCAAUGCAGCCUGCUGGGACCGAGGACCGCGCUUCGGCUAGGAUGCUGGCGUAAUGGUUGUAAGCGGCCCGUCUUGAAACACGGACCAAGGAGUCUAACAUCUAUGCGAGUGUUUGGGUGUCAAACCCAUACGCGUAAUGAAAGUGAACGGAGGUGAGAACCCUUAAGGGUGCAUCAUCGACCGAUCCUGAUGUCUUCGGAAGGAUUUGAGUAAGAGCAUAGCUGUUGGGACCCGAAAGAUGGUGAACUAUGCCUGAAUAGGGUGAAGCCAGAGGAAACUCUGGUGGAGGCUCGCAGCGGUUCUGACGUGCAAAUCGAUCGUCAAAUUUGGGUAUAGGGGCGAAAGACUAAUCGAACCAUCUAGUAGCUGGUUCCUGCCGAAUU
rnacentral:rRNA from 1 species